AGUAUUUGUGCCUAUUUUUGUCUAACUUGUGAACUAAAACUUCUGGACAGAUGCAAAAAAUAAAUCCUCUUUUGCAACACAGAACUCACUGUUCAGCAUGAGUUUUGAUAUACAUAAAAAGGAAUAUU
rnacentral:snoRNA from 1 species